CAGUAGUCAUAUGCUUGUCUCAAAGAUUAAGCCAUGCAUGUCUCAGUACAAGCCGAAUUAAGGUGAAACCGCGAAAGGCUCAUUAUAUCAGUUAUGGUUCCUUAGAUCGUACCACAAUUACAUGGAUAACUGUGGUAAUUCUAGAGCUAAUACAUGCAAAUAGAGUUCCGACCAGAGAUGGAAGGAAUGCUUUUAUUAGAUCAAAACCAAUCGGUCCGCGUGAGUUCUGUGCGUCGUCCGCGCGCGCGCGCGUCGCUUCGCGGCGGCGCGCGUGUCGUCGGCGGCGCGCUUUCGCACGCUCCGUACACGCUUGGUGACUCUGAAUAACUUUGUGCUGAUCGCACGGUCUCGUACCGGCGACGCAUCUUUCAAAUGUCUGCCUUAUCAACUGUCGAUGGUAGGUUCUGCGCCUACCAUGGUCGUAACGGGUAACGGGGAAUCAGGGUUCGAUUCCGGAGAGGGAGCCUGAGAAACGGCUACCACAUCCAAGGAAGGCAGCAGGCGCGCAAAUUACCCACUCCCGGCACGGGGAGGUAGUGACGAAAAAUAACGAUACGGGACUCAUCCGAGGCCUCGUAAUCGGAAUGAGUACACUUUAAAUCCUUUAACGAGUAUCCAUUGGAGGGCAAGUCUGGUGCCAGCAGCCGCGGUAAUUCCAGCUCCAAUAGCGUAUAUUAAAGUUGUUGCGGUUAAAAAGCUCGUAGUCGAAUUUGUGUCCCGCACUGUCGGUUCACCGCUCGCGGUGUUCAACUGGCAUGUUAUGUGGGACGUCCUACCGGUGGGUGGUGUAAAUUGUAUGUUGUAUUACUAUAUUUGUUGUGUUAUAUGUUUUGUGUGUGUGCGCGGUCGUGUAUAAUAUCAUAUAUUAUGUGUAUGUGCUAUGUUAUAUGCUGCUGUUGUGUUAUAUGUGUUUAACUGCACAUUAAUGCAGCACACAUAUAUUCAUUCUCAUUUCAUGUGUAUAUAUGUGUAUGUGCAUGCCCCACAUAUGUAUUCACAUAUUUUACACUCUGUAUGGUAAUUUUCAAUUAUAUUAUUUACCGUAAGUGUUUUGCCGUGAAGAACGGCGGCAGCCCCCAAUUGCAAUCCCGUCGCGGUGCUCUUAACUGAGUGUCGAGGUGGGCCGGUACGUUUACUUUGAACAAAUUAGAGUGCUUAAGGCAGGCUCAAAUUUCGCCUGAAUAUUGUGUGCAUGGAAUAAUGGAAUAGGACCUCGGUUCUAUUUUGUUGGUUUUCGGAACUCCGAGGUAAUGAUUAAUACGGACAGAUGGGGGCAUUCGUAUUGCGACGUUAGAGGUGAAAUUCUUGGAUCGUCGCAAGACGGACAGAAGCGAAAGCAUUUGCCAAAAAUGUUUUGAUUGAUCAAGAACGAAAGUUAGAGGUUCGAAGGCGAUCAGAUACCGCCCUAGUUCUAACCAUAAACGAUGCCAGCUAGCGAUCCGCCGAAGUUCCUCCGAUGACUCGGCGGGCAGCUUCCGGGAAACCAAAGCUUUUGGGUUCCGGGGGAAGUAUGGUUGCAAAGCUGAAACUUAAAGGAAUUGACGGAAGGGCACCACCAGGAGUGGAGCCUGCGGCUUAAUUUGACUCAACACGGGAAACCUCACCAGGCCCGGACACCGGAAGGAUUGACAGAUUGAGAGCUCUUUCUUGAUUCGGUGGGUGGUGGUGCAUGGCCG
rnacentral:rRNA from 1 species